rnacentral:rRNA from 1 species
UACCUGCAGAAGAAGCACCGGCUAACUAUGUGCCAGCAGCCGCGGUAAUACAUAGGGUGCAAGCGUUGUCCGGAAUUAUUGGGCGUAAAGAGCUCGUAGGUGGUUAGUUACGUCGGAUGUGAAAAUCUAUGGCUCAACCCUAGACCUGCAUCCGAUACGGGCUAACUUGAGUUUGGUAGGGGAGACUGGAAUUCCUGGUGUAGCGGUGGAAUGCGCAGAUAUCAGGAGGAACACCAAUGGCGAAGGCAGGUCUCUGGGCCAAUACUGACACUGAGGAGCGAAAGUGUGGGGAGCGAACAGGAUUAGAUACCCUGGUAGU